UACAGAGGAGCCAAGCGUUGUCCGGAUUGACUGGGCGUAAAGCGCACGCAGGCGGUGGUUCGCGUGGGGUGUGAAAUCUGGCCGCUUAACGGCCAGGCGCCAUCCCAUACGGCACGACUGGAGGGCUGCAGAGGUCGAUGGAAUUGCCGGUGUAGUGGUGAAAUGCGUAGAGAUCGGCAGGAACACCCAGGGGGAAACCAGUCGACUGGGCAGCACCUGACGCUGAGGUGCGAGAGCGUGGGGAGCGAACCGG
rnacentral:rRNA from 1 species